rnacentral:rRNA from 1 species
CCUACGGGAGGCAGCAGUGAGGAAUAUUGGUCAAUGGACGAGAGUCUGAACCAGCCAAGUAGCGUGAAGGAUGACUGCCCUAUGGGUUGUAAACUUCUUUUAUAGGGGAAUAAAAUGUGCCACGUGUGGGAUUUUGUAUGUACCAUAUGAAUAAGGAUCGGCUAACUCCGUGCCAGCAGCCGCGGUAAUACGGAGGAUCCGAGCGUUAUCCGGAUUUAUUGGGUUUAAAGGGAGCGUAGGUGGAUUGUUAAGUCAGUUGUGAAAGUUUGCGGCUCAACCGUAAAAUUGCAGUUGAAACUGGCAGGCUUGAGUACAGUAGCGGUGGGCGGAAUUCGUGGUGUAGCGGUGAAAUGCUUAGAUAUCACGAAGAACUCCGAUUGCGAAGGCAGCUCACUGGACUGCAACUGACACUGAGGCUCGAAAGUGUGGGUAUCAAACAGGAUUAGAUACCCUUGUAGUC